GACGAACGCUGGCGGCGUGCUUAACACAUGCAAGUCGAACGGAAAGGCCCUGCUUUUGUGGGGUGCUCGAGUGGCGAACGGGUGAGUAACACGUGAGUAACCUGCCCUUGACUUUGGGAUAACUUCAGGAAACUGGGGCUAAUACCGGAUAGGAGCUCCUGCUGCAUGGUGGGGGUUGGAAAGUUUCGGCGGUUGGGGAUGGACUCGCGGCUUAUCAGCUUGUUGGUGGGGUGGUGGCUUACCAAGGCUUUGACGGGUAGCCGGCCUGAGAGGGUGACCGGCCAAAUGGGGAUUGAGAGAGGGCCAAACCCCCGAGGGGGGGGAGGGGGGGGGAAAUUUGCAAAAGGGGGGGAAGCUGGAGGGAGAAACCCCGGGGGGGGGAGGAGGGCCUUGGGGUGGUAAACCGCUUCCGCCUGGAAGGAAGGGGGGGGGACGGAAAUGGGGAAAAAAGAACGGGAAAACUAAGG
rnacentral:rRNA from 1 species